rnacentral:rRNA from 1 species
CCAAUAGCGUAUAUUAAAGUUGUUGCAGUUAAAAAGCUCGUAGUUGAAUUUUAGGCCUGGCCGGGCGGUCCGUCUUUGGCGAGUACUGUCCUGUGUCGGGUCCACCUUCUGGUGAACCAGUAUGUCCUUUAUUGGGUGUGCCGGGGAGCCAGGACCAUUACCUUGAAAAAAUUAGAGUGUUUAAAGCGGGCAUUUGCUUGAAUAGAUUAGCAUGGAAUAAUAGAAUAGGACGUUGUGGUUCUAUUUUGUUGGUUUCUAGGACCACCGUAAUGAUUAAUAGGGAUAGUUGGGGGCAUUAGUAUUCAAUUGUCAGAGGUGAAAUUCUUGGAUUUAUUGAAGACUAACUAUUGCGAAGGCAUUUGCCAAGGAUGUUUUCAUUAAUCAAGAACGAAAGUUAGGGGAUCGAAGACGAUCAGAUACCGUCGUAGUCUUAACCAUAAACUAUGCCGACUAGGAAUCGGGCGACGUUAUUUUCAUGACUCGCUCGGCGCCUUAUG